rnacentral:rRNA from 1 species
CGCCCGCCGUUGAAACUGACGGUCUUGAGUGGGCGAGAAGUAUGCGGAAUGCGUGGUGUAGCGGUGAAAUGCAUAGAUAUCACGCAGAACUCCGAUUGCGAAGGCAGCAUACUGGCGCCCAACUGACGCUGAAGCACGAAAGCGUGGGUAUCGAACAGGAUUAGAUACCCUGGUAGUCCACGCAGUAAACGAUGAAUGCCGGCUGUCCGGUCCGACUGAGGGCUGGGUGGCGAAGCGAAAGCGAUAAGCAUUCCACCUGGGGAGUACGCCGGCAACGGUGAAACUCAAAGGAAUUGACGGGGGCCCGCACAAGCGGAGGAACAUGUGGUUUAAUUCGAUGAUACGCGAGGAACCUUACCCGGGCUCAAACGCAGGAGGGAUGUUUUUGAAAGGAGGCAGCCAGCAAUGGUCUCCUGCGAGGUGCUGCAUGGUUGUCGUCAGCUCGUGCCGUGAGGUGUCGGCUUAAGUGCCAUAACGAGCGCAACCCCUACCUACAGUUGCCAUCGCGUGAUGGCGGGCACUCUGUGGGGACUGCCUGCGCAAGCAGUGAGGAAGGCGGGGAUGACGUCAAAUCAGCACGGCCCUUACGUCCGGGGCGACACACGUGUUACAAUGGCAGGUACAGCGGGAAGCCACCCGGCGACGGGGCGCGGAACCCGAAAACCUGUCUCAGUUCGGAUUGGAGUCUGCAACCCGACUCCAUGAAGCUGGAUUCGCUAGUAAUCGCGCAUCAGCCACGGCGCGGUGAAUACGUUCCCGGGCCUUGUACACACCGCCCGUCAAGCCAUGGAAGCCGGGGGUGCCUGAAGUGCGUGACCGCAAGGAGCGCCCUAGGGUAAAACCGGUGACUGGGGCUAAGUCGUAACAAGGUAGCCGUAA